UGGGGAAUAUUGCACAAUGGGGGAGCCCUGAUGCAGCCAUGCCGCGUGAAUGAAGAAGGCCUUCGGGUUGUAAAGUUCUUUCGGUGAUGAGGAAGGUGUGGUGGUUAAUACCCACUACAAUUGACGUUAAUCACAGAAGAAGCACCGGCUAACUCCGUGCCAGCAGCCGCGGUAAUACGGAGGGUGCGAGCGUUAAUCGGAAUAACUGGGCGUAAAGGGCACGCAGGCGGAUUUUUAAGUGAGGUGUGAAAGCCCCGGGCUUAACCUGGGAAUUGCAUUUCAGACUGGGAAUCUAGAGUACUUUAGGGAGGGGUAGAAUUCCACGUGUAGCGGUGAAAUGCGUAGAGAUGUGGAGGAAUACCGAAGGCGAAGGCAGCCCCUUGGGAAUGUACUGACGCUCAUGUGCGAAAGCGUGGGGAGCAAACAGGAUUAGAUACCC
rnacentral:rRNA from 1 species